AGCAAGAAUUGAUUCGGUAGUAUGGAAAGUGCAUAGAGGAGAGUCGUUGAUUGAUUGCUUGUAGGAAUUAAACGAGACCAGAAUAUGUCCUAUUCUUAAGCGUAAGAAAUAUGAAAUUGUUUCCUACUAAUUUUUAUAUAACAGAAUCAAUAACGCUUGGAGAGUAAUAUUCUCACACCGCGUAGCAAAAUUAAGAGGUAGAUUAGUCCAUUCGUUAAACCGCAUCGUGUCAAUAUGGGUUCUAAGUAUACAAGGUGAUUCAUUUAA